UACGUAGGGACCAAGCGUUGUCCGGAAUCAUUGGGCGUAAGGCGCGCGUAGGUGGCCAUUUAAGUCCGCUGUGAAAGUCAGAGGCUCAACCUUUGAAAGCCGGUGGAUACUGGAUGGCUAGAGUACGGAAGAGGCGAGUGGAAUUCCUGGUGUAGCGGUGGAAUGCGCAGAUAUCAGGAGGAACACCGGUGGCGAAGGCGGGUCUCUGGGCAGUAACUGACGCUGAGGAGCGAAAGCGUGGGGAGCGAACAGG
rnacentral:rRNA from 1 species